rnacentral:rRNA from 1 species
GAUGAACGCUGGCGGCGUGCCUAAUACAUGCAAGUCGAGCGAACAGACGAGGAGCUUGCUCCUUUGACGUUAACGGCGGACGGGUGAGUAACACGUGGGUAACCUACCUAUAAGACUGGGAUAACUUCGGGAAACCGGAGCUAAUACCGGAUAAUAUUUCGAACCGCAUGGUUCGAUAGUGAAAGAUGGCUUUGCUAUCACUUAUAGAUGGACCUGCGCCGUAUUAGCUAGUUGGUAAGGUAACGGCUUACCAAGGCAACGAUACGUAGCCGACCUGAGAGGGUGAUCGGCCACACUGGAACUGAGACACGGUCCAGACUCCUACGGGAGGCAGCAGUAGGGAAUCUUCCGCAAUGGGCGAAAGCCUGACGGAGCAACGCCGCGUGAGUGAUGAAGGUCUUCGGAUCGUAAAACUCUGUUAUUAGGGAAGAACAAACGUGUAAGUAACUGUGCACGUCUUGACGGUACCUAAUCAGAAAGCCACGGCUAACUACGUG